GCUUUCUAAACUAUUUCAUUUUGUAAUGGGGUGAAAAAGGAGAAAUAAACAGAUUGUUAAGGAAAACCAAACACUGGCACAGUAAGAAGCUCACUGCUAAAAUAGUGAUUAGUACACAAAAUGAAUUAUUUUCAAGCCUCUGAAGUACAGUAAAAGGAGUUCCAGCCAUUCCUUGUUUAGGUGCUUGUGGCUGUAUGGUUGAACUGAUGUAACAGAUGCAUACUGCUUAAAGAUCCUAGUGCUUUCCCCACUGUUGACUGCAAGCUUUCACUCAGUCUCCCAAGAGAUUUCACUCACUUUCCUAAGCAUUUUCUCACCACAGGAGAACUGUUCCAGGGUUCCAUGUUUCAUCUUUAAAGUGAGUGUUUUGACCCUUCAGGGAACCAUUACGGCCAAGCACCUAUGCAGGAAUGGCAGGAGUUCCCUGAGAAAAGCAGCAGGACCAGGACCAGAUUGGUUUACCAGACAGUCAAACUACAUCGCUGCAGCUUCUCAGUGAACCUGUUGUGUGUCUUCUUAUUAUCAGAUAUCAUUGUUUGUAUACUUUAUUCUACUCCAACCUUAUCUACUGUGUAAGUCUGUUUCUGUACUGCAGGCUUUUGAAGUGCUACAGGUUAUUUAACAUGUACUGUCCCAGUACUAAGAUAGUAAUAUUGCUUCAGCAAAUGAUUCAUAGACCUUUAGUCAAUGUGAGGACAGAAUGUGACGGUUGGUAUCUUGACUCUUGUACAAGUCACAGACCUGUAAAUGAGAGGACAUGAUUUAAUUUGACAGGUUAUUUAAAAUUGCAUAGAUGUCAGAGAGGAUUUUCGGGCUUUAGGUAAUAGACCUUUCAGACCUCUGCUGACCUCCACAGCACACUUCAGCACAUGGCUAACUUUAAAGAAAUCCACCUCAGUUAAGUUGUCUUGAUUACUCAUUUAGCUCUUUCUUCAUUUGCAGUCUCCUCUGCAUUUUUCUCACAGUGUGAGUCCCAUCAGAAAGUGCUUCUUGCAUUUAAUGCCUGGAAUACAUAUCUGGGAGAAGAGAGAAGAGCGAGCUCAUUGCUUCUGCUACCAAUACUAAAGCUGAUUCUCCUUUCUAGUUUUAUCUUCAUAUUUCCUGUUGUUGAAAAUGAAAAAAGAAAGAAGAUGAACACUGCCGUAUUUUAGGAUAAACAGAACUUACUCUGUGAUUAUUUGAAAGAAAAAGAAUCCAAAAGCAAGAGCUUUAAGAAAUGCCAGAAAUACUGUUUCCAGCCACGUUAUUCUAGUAUGGCUUUGAGCAUACCUAUUCCUUUAAGCCCUUGCAUUAUCAUCUCAGAAUAACAUUGCACUUAAGCUGAUCCAUUUUUCUCUACUUCAGUAAGGAAGAAAUUAAUGGUGUUUAUUACUGUAUGAGGUGAAUGUGUGAUUAUUUUGCUUGCCAAUACUUUCUUUUAUGCCUUGCAUUUCAGAAAGAGACAGCUGUUAUUGUGAUAGGUUUUUUGUUCCAGUGAAUCUACAAGAAAUACAGGGAGUUAAUACAGGAUCAGUCAAGUACCAUGGCAAAAGUGCUGCUCUUGUUACCUCAUCCUAUUGUAUUGGUAGAGAUUCUACAUGACUUAGGACAUACUUCAGAAAAGGAAGACUGCUGUGGACUUUCUGCAGGCUCUUGCAGAAUGUGAACCAUGAGAGAGAUGAUGGUCUAGAAAAGCCUUCCUGUAAGGAUCCCUGAUUCUUUGUUUCAAACACUAGAAACUGUUGAGAACAGUUCAAGGAGUGAAUCUCCUGUGGUAUCACAAGGCAGGAUAUUUUUUGGAAAGUGAGUAUAUAUAACUAGAGUCCUUAAUUUUUCAACCUUGUAGUGAGAAAUCCUGAUGAAACUAGAAUCAGGAUUAGCUGUCUUACAUAAAACUGUCAUCUUCCUCAUGAAGGUGUAGAAAGUUUUUGUAGGUGGAGAGUGGUUAGUUGGUGUGGAAGAUCUUGUGUAACACUGAGUAAUACCUGACCAUUCCAAGGAUUUUUUUUUAAUGUGUAUCCACAUUAAGAUGUUUCUUCCAUGUUUGAAGGGCAGUUGGCUACAGCAGGGCCACGUUCUUGGUUCUGAGGCCCUGAUGCAGAAGUGACCCUAAGAAUUGUUGACUUAACUGUGUGUAGAUAGAUGAUUUUUUUUUUUUGAAUGCCUCUAACCCUGCGUUCCUUUUUUCAUAUCUCCAGGUAUUGUUUUACGUUACCUUAACCCUUCUUAGCAUGUGUGACUAUGACUUCUGGUAAAAACCUGAGGUACACUCUAAGAUGUACCCGAGUUGUGGUUGGUCUGUGGUUUGGUUUUUUUUUUGUUUGUUUGUUUUUUUUAACGAGUUCUAAAAGUGUUUCAAAAAAACCCUGGAUUUUAUGCAGGCUUUUGGCUUCACUGUAAUUUUAAUUAGGUUUUCUGUAUGGCUUUCAUGCUUGAAAGCUACAUGAGAUUUAAACUACAUACAAAUUGUACUUCUGUGUGCUGAGGGGCUUUGCAAUGUUCUGCUGUUGAUGAAGUAGUUUGAACUAUGCCAACCCUUACUUUAACAGUGACCUCUUCUUAUACUGGGUUGUUGUUAAAAAUUUGCUAGCAUUCACUGACUUACUUCCUAAUGACAUAAAAGCUACUGCAUGUCUCCCUUAUAUUCAGAAAAGAAAAUAGUUCAUAACUGGGAUGUGUCUGGCAAACUUCUUUUUUGAAUGGCUGUUCCUGUAGAUGGUGCAGUUAUAUUUGCUGAUGCACAAUACCUGAGUUUAGUAACAUGUAAGUUUUGUCAUCUUCCUCACACAUGUUAAUAAAGUUAUAUUUUAAGCAAUGGCAAAAAUGUCAGUUUUCAACAAAUUUUUUUUCUCACUGAAAACGUUUCGCUUCUGGUAAUUGCUGAGGGGUAUGUAAAUCCAUUUCUAAAUACAGAACAGAUUGAAGACCAAAAAUUGGCUGUGAUAAACAUGUUCAUGUAAUUUUGUUACCUAUUCUA